rnacentral:rRNA from 1 species
CGCGUAGGCGGCGGACACAGUCAGGCGUGAAAUUCCUGGGCUCAACCUGGGGGCUGCGUUUGAUACAUGUUCGCUUGAGUUCGGAAGAGGGUCGUGGAAUUCCCAGUGUAGAGGUGAAAUUCGUAGAUAUUGGGAAGAACACCGGUGGCGAAGGCGGCGACCUGGUCCGAUACUGACGCUGAGGCGCGAAAGCGUGGGGAGCAAACAGGAUUAGAUACCCUGGUAGUCCACGCCGUAAACGAUGUGCGCUGGAUGUUGGGUGACCUAGUCACUCAGUGUCGUAGCUAACGCGAUAAGCGCACCGCCUGGGGAGUACGGCCGCAAGGUUGAA